UACAGAGGUGGCAAGCGUUGUUCGGAAUUACUGGGCGUAAAGGGCGCGUAGGCGGUUCGUUAAGUCCUGUGUGAAAUCCCCCGGCUCAACUGGGGAACUGCACAGGAAACUAGCGGGCUUGAGUUCGGGAGAGGGAAGCGGAAUUCUGGGUGUAGCGGUGAAAUGCGUAGAUAUCCGGAGGAACACCGGUGGCGAAGGCGGCUUCCUGGACCGACACUGACGCUGAGGCGCGAAAGCUAGGGGAGCAAACGGG
rnacentral:rRNA from 1 species